rnacentral:lncRNA from 10 species
UAAGACGAGGUAUUCUUCUGUAACUAUAGGGUAGCAGUGAGCCCCAUGUGGGUAAAUAACCAAUACAAAACGAAAAGGUAAGCCAAAGAAAUCACAAGAAAUAUAAACUCAAUAAGCAGUGAUGCUGAGUUGACCGCUAGAAAGUAAGGAAAGAGAAGAAGAGUCCCUGCCUGGUAAUCCAUAGAAUUCUUCCAGAUCUUAUCCAAGACCACCAAGGUGGUACAUCUAUGAGUCUGCAAGAACCACAGCAUUACCGGGCUUGGGGUACCACCUAAUGCAGAUAUGACUGCAGUGACCAAAAACUUAGAUUACAACACACAAGUCCUUUUAAAUACCUGGAAAGCCAUCCCAAAAAGGACUGGUACAGACAAGCCCAAACUGCAAAGACUAUAAUAAAUACCUAACUCUUCAAUGCCCAAAUAAUGACAAACAUCCACAGGAAUCA